rnacentral:sRNA from 1 species
UCCGUAGGUGAACCUGCGGAGGGAUCAUUACCGAGUAAGGGCCCCCGCGCCCGACCUCCCACCCUUUGUGAACCCUCUCGUUGCUUCGGGGGCGACCCUGCCGGCACCCCGCCGCCGGGCGCCCCCGGAGGUCUCCUAACACUGCAUCUCUGCGUCGGAGUUUACAACCAAUCAAACAAAACUUUCAACAACGGAUCUCUUGGUUCUGGCAUCGAUGAAGAACGCAGCGAAAUGCGAUAAGUAAUGUGAAUUGCAGAAUUCAGUGAAUCAUCGAAUCUUUGAACGCACAUUGCGCCCUUUGGUAUUCCGAAGGGCAUGCCUGUUCGAGCGUCAUUUCACCACUCAAGCCUGGCUUGGUCUUGGGCGCCGCGGCCUCGCCGCGCGCCUCAAAGUCUCCGGCUGAGCCGUCCGUCUCCAAGCGUUGUGGCCUUCAUCUAUUCGCUUCGGGGCACGGGCGGCCGCGGCCGUUAAACCUCCACUCAAGGUUGACCUCGGAUC